GAUGAACGCUGGCGGCGUGCCUAAUACAUGCAAGUCGAGCGAACGGACGAGAAGCUUGCUUCUCUGAUGUUAGCGGCGGACGGGUGAGUAACACGUGGAUAACCUACCUAUAAGACUGGGAUAACUUCGGGAAACCGUAGCUAAUACCGGAUAAUAUUUUGAACCGCAUGGUUCAAAAGUGAAAGACGGUCUUGCUGUCACUUAUAGAUGGAUCCGCGCUGCAUUAGCUAGUUGGUAAGGUAACGGCUUACCAAGGCAACGAUGCAUAGCCGACCUGAGAGGGUGAUCGGCCACACUGGAACUGAGACACGGUCCAGACUCCUACGGGAGGCAGCAGUAGGGAAUCUUCCGCAAUGGUCGAAAGCCUGACGGAGCAACGCCGCGUGAGUGAUGAAGGUCUUCGGAUCGUAAAAAUCUGUUAUUAGGGAAGAACAUAUGUGUAAGUAACUGUGCACAUCUUGACGGUACCUAAUCAGAAAGCCACGGCUAACUACGUG
rnacentral:rRNA from 1 species